AGUGAACGCUGGCGGUAGGCCUAACACAUGCAAGUCGGACGGCAGCACAGUAAGAGCUUGCUCUUACGGGUGGCGAGUGGCGGACGGGUGAGGAAUACAUCGGAAUCUACUUUUUCGUGGGGGAUAACGUAGGGAAACUUACGCUAAUACCGCAUACGACCUACGGGUGAAAGCAGGGGAUCUUCGGACCUUGCGCGAUUGAAUGAGCCGAUGUCGGAUUAGCUAGUUGGCGGGGUAAAGGCCCACCAAGGCGACGAUCCGUAGCUGGUCUGAGAGGAUGAUCAGCCACACUGGAACUGAGACACGGUCCAGACUCCUACGGGAGGCAGCAGUGGGGAAUAUUGGACAAUGGGCGCAAGCCUGAUCCAGCCAUACCGCGUGGGUGAAGAAGGCCUUCGGGUUGUAAAGCCCUUUUGUUGGGAAAGAAAAGCAGCAGGUUAAUACCCCGCUGUUCUGACGGUACCAAAAGAAUAAGCACCGGCUAACUUCGUG
rnacentral:rRNA from 1 species